CCACCCUUGUAGUGUUGAUGUUCUAACGUCGACCCCUAAUCGGGGUUGCGGACAGUGCCUGGUGGGUAGUUUGACUGGGGCGGUCUCCUCCCAAAGAGUAACGGAGGAGCACGAAGGUGGGCUAAUCACGGUUGGACAUCGUGAGGUUAGUGCAAUGGCAUAAGCCCGCUUGACUGCGAGAAUGACAAUUCGAGCAGGUGCGAAAGCAGGUCAUAGUGAUCCGGUGGUUCUGAAUGGAAGGGCCAUCGCUCAACGGAUAAAAGGUACUCCGGGGAUAACAGGCUGAUACCGCCCAAGAGUUCAUAUCGACGGCGGUGUUUGGCACCUCGAUGUCGGCUCAUCACAUCCUGGGGCUGAAGUCGGUCCCAAGGGUAUGGCUGUUCGCCAUUUAAAGUGGUACGCGAGCUGGGUUUAGAACGUCGUGAGACAGUUCGGUCCCUAUCUGCCGUGGGCGUUGGAAGAUUGAAGGGGGCUGCUCCUAGUACGAGAGGACCGGAGUGGACGAACCUCUGGUGUUCGGGUUGUGUCGCCAGACGCAUUGCCCGGUAGCUAAGUUCGGAAUCGAUAACCGCUGAAAGCAUCUAAGCGGGAAGCGAGCCCUGAGAUGAGUCUUCCCUGAUACUUUAAGUAUCCUAAAGGGUUGUCGGAGACUACGACGUUGAUAGGUCAGGUGUGUAAGUGCUGUGAGGCAUUGAGCUAACUGAUACUAAUUGCCCGUGAGGCUUAACCAU
rnacentral:rRNA from 1 species